rnacentral:rRNA from 1 species
UACGAAGGGGGCUAGCGUUGUUCGGAAUUACUGGGCGUAAAGCGCACGUAGGCGGACUCUUAAGUCAGGGGUGAAAUCCCGGGGCUCAACCUCGGAACUGCCUUUGAUACUGUGAGUCUCGAGACCGGAAGAGGUGAGUGGAAUUCCUAGUGUAGAGGUGAAAUUCGUAGAGAUUAGGAAGAACACCAGUGGCGAAGGCGGCUCACUGGUCCGGUGCUGACGCUGAGGUGCGAAAGAGUGGGGAGCAAACAGG